rnacentral:lncRNA from 1 species
GCAGUUGUUCUGAAGUCUUGGAACGAGAACAGAACAACUUUGGAAGGAAAUGAUCACCAUCCCUCAUCAGCUGUGAGGCUGUUAAAGCUGGAAGAGGGUCUCGCUGAUCACCAGCAACAGAUUCCGGGUUCUAGGGGGUUCAAGGCUCAGAUCGGUGUCUGCUGGAGGGACAGCAUCCUGGGUUUCCCCAAUAGUGCUACCUAGAGACACCAGUUUCAGCAAACACAGUCCAGUACAAAGAUGGAUGCAUUCCUGGAGGACGAGGUUUCUUGAACAGUCUUUGGGUAAGCUAUAGCAGCCACACACACACCGGCCAGAAAGUUAGAGCCAUUAGCAACUCCAGUUGUUUGGCAG